GGGGGACCCAGGUCUCGACGGGGUAGUGGACUGCAAGAUGGCGGGCCGUGUCGCCGAGCACGUAAAAGCGGCAAGGCUAUAAACGCCAACAAUCGCGAACUGGCCCUCGCUGCGUAAGUAGCGAAGCCAAACCGGGGCUAGACCCCGGCGCCGAUCCGCUCCGCGUCAGCAGGAACGGAAACCGGCGUUAAAGCUCGCUGACUCGCUCCCGGCGGGCGUCGCGGCCGCCGGGCGGACUCUCUACCGCGACUGGCCUUGACGGAUCCGGUCCCACGGGAGCCCUCAAGGCGAGAUCGAGAACCGGGACUACGCUCGUAGAGAUCUUGCGGAACGCUGCUUCGGACGCGAGUUCGAUUCUCGCCGCCUCCACCA
rnacentral:tmRNA from 1 species